ACACAGUUGAAAGUAAAAAAGUUCUAAGUGAUUUUAAGGGUUUUAUUUUGUUCUUUUUCUUUUCCUUAGGCAAGCUAUACACAUUUGCUAUUGAAAUUUACCACAUUAAUGCCUGCAGUAUUAGGAAACAUGGUGGGCCCUCAUGGGAUGGAGGAAAGUGCACUGGACUUGUAAUCAGAACAUCUGGCUUGGGCCCUGGCACUAUACCGCUUCUGUGUCUUAGACCAUAUAAGAAGUUUCCAGACUUAAACAACACCCAGCGAUGCUGAAUGAGGCCAGCCCACCCCAGUGUUUCAUUUACCCCAAGAUUUAUCUUCCUUCCAUUAAAACACUGAAGUUCUGUAGAAGAGACAAAGGUAAUUUCCCAUAAAAAGCAAUGGCGUUUCCUCUACUGGUGGGUGGCACAACUUCUGUUUCUUUCCUUUUCCUUUUCCUUUCUCC
rnacentral:lncRNA from 1 species